AGGUGAUGGACAACAGGUUGAUAUUCCUGUACUACCGAUAACCGUUUGAGAGAUGGGAUGACACAGUAGGAUAAGCUAAGCACACUGUUGGUUAUGGGUGCCCAAGCAUUGAGGCAGUCAAAGUAGGCAAAUCCGCUUUGAUAAUGCUGGGAUGGGAUGGGGAGCGAAAUUUAGUAGCGAAGUAGCUGAUUUCACACUGUCAAGAAAAGUCUCUAUCGAGGUUA
rnacentral:rRNA from 1 species